ACCCUGCGGCCUCCUCCCGGUUCCAGCCGCCACCGCCGCCGCCGCCGCCGCCCUCCCCGCGGCCGCCGCUACUUCCUGCUUCUCUCCGCUUCGGCCUCCCCUCUCCCUCAGCUCCCUCCGCGCUCCUAGUCCGGGCUGCCCGCUUUCAUACUCGCCAUUGGCUAAUGGACCCGUCACUCAACUGCGAGCCCCACCCAUCCCCGUACGGGAUUGGCUCUCCAUACCCCGCUCGGAACUGGCCCCUCAUAGUCUUCUCACCGCGAUUGGACAAAGAGCCUGGGCCCUGUGGAGAAGCCUCUCCCCAUUGGCUGCUCCGGAGUCCACCUGCCCCGUCUGAGCAGCCCGAAAGCCAUUGGCCGCCGCCGCUGUCGCUUAGCGAGAAGCCAGCCUUAGUCUCCGCUUUGGGUUGCGAGGGGUGACUAGCUAGCCCUGAAGCGUGGCCGUCCUCUCUCCAUUGGUCGCUCGAAGCCGGACACUGUGUCUCACGUAUGCAAACUUAGGAACUCUAGCUGUCUGGUGGCGCGUCUAGGGGAACCUCGUCGGCUCCCCGUGGAACCUGAGUGUUCGUGCCGUUCGUUACCUCUGGCUAAGCCGCGAUCGCAAGGAUGCGGUGCUGGGGGUCACAAAAUGGGGUGCCACCCCCAAACAUUACGUCAUCGGGGUGACCACGGCCUGACGUUCCUCACCGUCUAAAUGGCUUUAUAAUCCGGACGGAUGCGGUUCUGGCGUCCGCCUGCCUCUGGGCGUACGCACCACGCACAGCUCCUCCCUCUGCGGGAGAGCCGGACAGACUUUGGGAUUCAGAGUGUAAAAGAAACCGGAACCACCGAGACCUGAGACCUGGGACACGCUGCGACCGGAAGUGGGGGAGGUGACGUUGGGAAGUGCUGGCGUGGCCUGGGCCACAACCCAGGAGAGCUUAAGGAGCUGGCACGACUGUCCCCGUUGAGCUUUCCCGCGCUUUACUGCCCCGCCCCUUGGAGGCGGGGAAGGGGGCGGAGUCGCAAGGGAGAAGCACUCGCCCACUUGCCCUGCUUCAGGUUUUUGCAGGAUCCAUCUGCACGCCCAGUGGGCCACCUGGCGCGCACUCUACUCUGGCCGCGCGCCGCCACCGCUCACCGCGACCGCAGCCGUCUCAAAUGACAAGGGUUUUUAAAUUUUUGCUUUAUUUUCACUUUUUUGCAGUGUUCAGAGUGGAACCUAAGUGCUUCACUCAGUCCAAGCAAGCAACCCACCAACAUAGCAACUUGGCGAGUCUUUUUUAUUGAACGUUGGGAGUCGCACACGCUAGGGCAGGUGCACUCGUAACACUGAAGCUACACUAUACCCUAUCACCUUUUGGGACAGGGUUCCCACUAAGUUGUCCUGCCUGCCUAGUAACUGGGGCUACACAGCAGUGCCAUCAGGCCCAGGUUUGGGUGAAGCUUUUAAAAGAAGGCUCUGUUACCUGCCCUUGGACCCCAAAAGUUCAGGCUUAUGGAUGGGAGGAAUCUUGGAACCACCACAUUCCACAUGAUGCCAUCAGGCAAAUCUUUCUACCUCCCUGAACCUAUUGUCUCAUAAAUAAAAUAGUAACUGUAAUAUC